rnacentral:lncRNA from 1 species
GAAAUAAGAUCUUUGUCUAUUGUCUGACAACUUAAUUUUAUUUUGAAAGAAGAUCAAGUAAUUGGAUCAAGAUAUUUCUCAACAAGUCUGCAUUUGUUUCUAAAUAUUGCAUGCUAACUGCCAAUUUUUAUAUAGAUUGCUGGCACAUCUACACUGGAAACAAGAGACGUGGUAUUAAAUAGAAUAUCCCUUUGUUAUUUUCUUGGCCAUACCACCGACUUAUUUCUUUAUCAUGGGAUUAUUUUAGCCCAUAACUACCACUACUUAGUGAGCAAUCAUGUGCUGAGCCUUUUUAAACUCCUCCUUAAUAACAUAUGACACAUGGUAUAUAUUUCUUUUUGAAUGAAUAAGCAUUGUGCAUGUCCCCCUCAGUGCUGAUUUAUGUAGAAGUCAGUGCAGACAGUCUCUUGUUUUACAAAUUCAUUUGUCAUUUCCUUUGUUAGUACAACCUCGUGACAAUCCGUUGAAAAGUCAAAGCUUUUUUUGCCAGUUAACUACUUUGUUUACACAGGACUAAAAUACUAAUUUUUAUAGUUGUUUUUUCACAGUAAAGUAGUAUAAAUUUUAAUAGCAAUUUAAUUUUAGGGCAAGGGCAGUAAACACCAAAGUAAAUUAUCA